rnacentral:rRNA from 1 species
GACGAACGCUGGCGGCGUGCUUAACACAUGCAAGUCGAACGGAAAGGCCCUGCUUGUGUGGGGUGCUCGAGUGGCGAACGGGUGAGUAACACGUGAGUAACCUGCCCUUGACUUUGGGAUAACGUCAGGAAACGGGGGCUACUACCGGAUAGGAGCUCCUGCUGCAUGGUGGGGGUUGGAUGGUUUCGGCGGUUGGGGAUGGACUCGGGGCAUAUCAGCUUGUGGGUGGGGUAGUGGCUUACCAAGGCGUUGACGGGUAGCCGGCCUGGGAGGGUGACCGGCCCCAUUGGGACUGAGGAGGGGGCCGGACUCAUACUGGAGGAAGGGGCGGGAAAUAUAGGACACUGGGCCGAAGCCUGAAGCAGCAACGCCGCGUGGGGGAUGACGGCCUUCGGGUUGUAAACCGCAUUCGCCUGUGACGAAGCGGGAGUGACGGUAAUGGGUAAAGAAGCAACGGCUAACUACGUG